GACGAACGCUGGCGGCGUGCUUAACACAUGCAAGUCGAACGAUGAAGAAAAGAAUCGAAGCUUCGGCAGAAAUUCAUUUCGGAUUAGUGGCAGACGGGUGAGUAACGCGUGAGCAACCUACCUCUUACAAAGGGAUAGCCUCGGGAAACCGGGAUUAAUACCAUAUAACAUUGUGACGAAGCAUUUCGAUGCAAUCAAAGCUACGGCGGUAAGAGAUGGGCUCGCGUCCCAUUAACCGGAUGGUGAGGUAACGGCUCACCAUAGUGACGAUGGGUAACCGGCCUGAGAGGGUGAACGGUCACACUGGAACUGAGACACGGUCCAGACUCCUACGGGAGGCAGCAGUGGGGAAUAUUGCACAAUGGAGGGAACUCUGAUGCAGCGACGCCGCGUGAGUGAUAAAGGAAUUCGUUUCGUAAAACUCUGUUCUAUGGGAAGAAAAGGACUGUACCAUAGGAGAAAGCGCCGGCUAAAUACGUG
rnacentral:rRNA from 1 species